UCUGCUGAGGACACUUGGGCAGGAUAAAUGGAGAAAGAUCCUUGGGCAGCCUCAUUGCUAAUCCUGUGGCUUCAGCUUGGCCGAGUGAGCAGCAUACUGAACGUGGAACAGAGUCCUCGGUCACUGCAUGUUCAGGAGGGAGAGACCACCAAUUUCACCUGCAGCUUUCCUUCCAGCUCUUUUUAUGCCUUACACUGGUACAGAUGGGAACAUGCAAAGAGUCCCAAGAUCCUUUUUGUAAUGAAUUCAGAUGGUGAUGAAAAGGAGGAAGGACGAGUAAGAGUCACUCUUCAUACUAAGGAGGGUUACAGCUACUUGUACAUCAAUGGACCCCAGCUUGAAGACUCAGCCACAUACCUCUGUGCCUUGACACAGUGCUCUUCAGGCACCUGCAGCCCAUGCUCAAACCUGUAG